rnacentral:lncRNA from 1 species
CCUAACCCAAACAACCUCCCAAACUUUCUAUUAUCCGUCCGUCUCAAAUACGUAAAACUCGGUUACCACUACCUAAUCUCCAACGCUCUCUACAUCCUCCUCCUUCCUCUCCUCGCCGCAACAAUCGCUAACCUCUCUUCUUUCACCAUCAACGACCUCUCUCUCCUCUACAACACACUCCGUUUCCAUUUCCUCUCCGCCACACUCGCCACCGCACUCUUAAUCUCUCUCUCCACCGCUUACUUCACCACCCGUCCCCGCCGUGUCUUCCUCCUCGACUUCUCGUGUUACAAACCAGACCCUUCACUGAUCUGCACUCGUGAAACAUUCAUGGACAGAUCUCAACGUGUAGGCAUCUUCACAGAAGACAACUUAGCUUUCCAACAAAAGAUCCUCGAAAGAUCCGGUCUAGGUCAGAAAACUUACUUCCCUGAAGCUCUUCUUCGUGUUCCUCCUAAUCCUUGUAUGGAAGAAGCGAGAAAAGAGGCAGAAACAGUUAUGUUCGGAGCUAUUGACG